GCCUGGAGUCCCUAGGCUCUGAAACUGGCUUCAGGCAAGAUGGUGGUCCCUGGUCCUGGCCUCUGGCUUGCCUGCUCAGCAGUCCAGCCGGGGGAGAGUCCAGGGCAGAGUCCUGUGGCUUAGGGCCUGGGAGAGGCCAGCAUGGGAACCUGGACUGUCCAGUGCCCGAGGGCUGUUGCUGUCAUCCCCAGGGAGAUGGGGACUGGUCCUGGGGGAAUGGAACAGGACCUCCCUUCCGCGUACCCCGAGUUGCCAUGUCAGCCUUGUUAAGUCACAGUCCGGGACCUGGACCAGGGCUCUCAGGACGGGCUCCUGGAGUGUCCAGGGGCUGCUGGGAGCUGGCUCAGGGGGGAGAGGACCACUUCUCUACCCCAUCCUGGCUCCCAUCCUGCCUCAGCCCAUGCCACAGGCCAGAGCCCUUGUUGCUGACUGUUCUGCGCCUGACGAUUGAGCAGAGCUGAGGACACACAAAAGACACAAACACAAAAGGAAAGCCACCCAGCGCAUGGACACAAAGCCAGACCCAGGGACCAAGCCACAGGCCAGUGUGUGCAGUGCCAUGGAUGCCAGGAGCAGGGAGCGGACCAGGACACCGAGGGGCUACAAGCUACAGUGAUGGUGCUAAAGAGCCAGAACUGGCCUAGACUUGGACUUCUCCUGGCUCUUCCUCUGGCCUCAGGAUGUCUUGGAAUCUGUACAACUGCCGUUCGCCAUUCACCAAUCUGCAUUGAAGCUCUGGGGACUUCCAGGCCUUGUGAAGUCGGGGCUUCAUGGAGGAGGUGAUACCUGAGCUUGGGAGUCAGAGAACAGGCAAAACUUCACCGAGUCACACACUUACAAAAAUAUUUUGCUUCCUUUAAGCCACUUGUUCCGGGCUGGAAUACAACAUUUGUGAAAUAAAUGAAGAUUAUGAUAAUCAUACCUACAUCCUGAGACUGUGGAGAGGAUUAAAUUAAUGUAUGUCUGGGGCUCAGAGCAGCAUCUGCCAACCACUACUACUCUUCACACCUUGUAUUUGGUACCUGCAG
rnacentral:lncRNA from 1 species